CGUGGCGGGCGGAUGACCGCCUCGGGGCCCAAGGCCGAGCGAUCGGCUGUCGGGAACGUCCUGGGGAGGAAAGUCCGGACUCCGUAGGGCGCGAUGGUGGGUAACGCCCACCGCCCGGCCCGGCGACGGGUCGGGUAGGGAAAGUGCAACAGAAAGUAAACCGCCUCCCUGGCCUCCCGGCUGGGGAGGUAAGGGUGAAACGGUGAGGUAAGAGCUCACCAGCAGGCCGGGCGACCGGCCUGGCUCGGCAAACCCCAUCGGGAGCAAGACCAAAUAAGGGGGCAGCGUUUUUGCCGAUUCGUCGGCCGGAACCGCGGGUCGGCCCGGCCCGCCACCGACUCCCGGGUAGGUCGCUUGAGGCGCCGGGCAACCGGCGUCCUAGAGAAAUGGUCAUCCGAGGGCCACUCGGCCCCUCGACAGAAUCCGGCUUAUCGCCCGCCACGAACC
rnacentral:RNase_P_RNA from 1 species